rnacentral:rRNA from 1 species
GACGAACGCUGGCGGCGUGCCUAAUACAUGCAAGUAGAACGCUGAAGGAGGAGCUUGCUUCUCUGGAUGAGUUGCGAACGGGUGAGUAACGCGUAGGUAACCUGCCUGGUAGCGGGGGAUAACUAUUGGAAACGAUAGCUAAUACCGCAUAAUAGUAGAUGUUGCAUGACAUUUGCUUAAAAGGUGCAAUUGCAUCACUACCAGAUGGACCUGCGUUGUAUUAGCUAGUUGGUGAGGUAACGGCUCACCAAGGCAACGGUACAUAGCCGACCUGAGGGGGUGAUCGGCCACACUGGGACUGAGACACGGCCCAGACGCCUACAGGAGGCAGCAGUAGGGAAUCUUCGGCAAGGGACGGAAGUCUGACCGAGCAACGCCGCGUGAGGGAAGAAGGUUUUCGGAUCGUAAAGCUCUGUUGUAAGAGAAGAACGAGUGUGAGAGUGGAAAGUUCACACUGUGACGGUAUCUUACCAGAAAGGGACGGCUAACUACGUG